GACGAACGCUGGCGGCGUGCUUAACACAUGCAAGUCGAACGGAAAGGCCCUGCUUUUGUGGGGUGCUCGAGUGGCGAACGGGUGAGUAACACGUGAGUAACCUGCCCUUUACUUUGGGAUAACUUCAGGAAACUGGGGCUAAUACCGGAUAGGAGCUCCCGCUGCAUGGUGGGGGUUGGAAAGUUUCGGCGGUUGGGGAUGGACUCGCGGCUUAUCAGCUUGUUGGUGGGGUAGUGGCUUACCAAGGCUUUGACGGGUAGCCGGCCUGAGAGGGUGACCGGCCACAGUGGGACUGAGAUACGGCCCAGAGUCCUACGGGAGGCAGCAGUGGGGAAUAUUGCACAAUGGGCGGAAGACUGAUGCAGCAACGCCGCGUGCGGGAUGACGGCCUUCAGGUUGUAAACCGCUUUCGCCUGUGACGAAGCGUGAGUGACGGUAAUGGGUAAAGAAGCACCGGCUAACUACGUG
rnacentral:rRNA from 1 species